rnacentral:rRNA from 1 species
AACAUCUUAGUACCCGGAGGAAGAGAAAGAAAAUUCGAUUCCCUUAGUAGCGGCGAGCGAAACGGGAAGAGCCCAAACCAACAAGCUUGCUUGUUGGGGUUGUAGGACACUCUAUACGGAGUUACAAAGGACGACAUUAGACGAAUCAUCUGGAAAGAUGAAUCAAAGAAGGUAAUAAUCCUGUAGUCGAAAAUGUUGUCUCUCUUGAGUGGAUCCUGAGUACGACGGAGCACGUGAAAUUCCGUCGGAAUCUGGGAGGACCAUCUCCUAAGGCUAAAUACUCUCUAGUGACCGAUAGUGAACCAGUACCGUGAGGGAAAGGUGAAAAGCACCCCGGAAGGGGAGUGAAAUAGAACCUGAAACCGUGUGCUUACAAGUAGUCAGAGCCCGUUAAUGGGUGAUGGCGUGCCUUUUGUAGAAUGAACCGGCGAGUUACGAUUUGAUGCAAGGUUAAGCAGUAAAUGUGGAGCCGUAGCGAAAGCGAGUCUGAAUAGGGCGUUUAGUAUUUGGUCGUAGACCCGAAACCAGGUGAUCUACCCUUGGUCAGGUUGAAGUUCAGGUAACACUGAAUGGAGGACCGAACCGACUUACGUUGAAAAGUGAGCGGAUGAACUGAGGGUAGCGGAGAAAUUCCAAUCGAACCUGGAGAUAGCUGGUUCUCUCCGAAAUAGCUUUAGGGCUAGCCUCAAGUGAUGAUUAUUGGAGGUAGAGCACUGUUUGGACGAGGGGCCCCUCUCGGGUUACCGAAUUCAGACAAACUCCGAAUGCCAAUUAAUUUAACUUGGGAGUCAGAACAUGGGUGAUAAGGUCCGUGUUCGAAAGGGAAACAGCCCAGACCACCAGCUAAGGUCCCAAAAUAUAUGUUAAGUGGAAAAGGAUGUGGCGUUGCCCAGACAACUAGGAUGUUGGCUUAGAAGCAGCCAUCAUUUAAAGAGUGCGUAAUAGCUCACUAGUCGAGUGACACUGCGCCGA